GCUACGUGAUGAUAUUCCCAGAGACUGAACACUCUGUAGUUGGUCCUUGGUGUGUUCAUGAUGUAUUGCACUGUUUCAAGACGGGACUGAUGGCAGC